UCGGGAAUUUUGGGCAAUGGGGGAAACCCUGACCCAGCAACGCCGCGUGAAGGAUGAAGUAUUUCGGUAUGUAAACUUCGAAAGAAUAGGAAGAAUAAAUGACGGUACUAUUUAUAAGGUCCGGCUAACUACGUGCCAGCAGCCGCGGUAAUACGUAGGUGGCAAGCGUUGUCCGGAUUUAUUGGGUUUAAAGGGUGCGUAGGUGGCCCUGUAAGUCAGUGGUGAAAUAUCUCAGCUUAACUGAGAGGGUGCCAUUGAUACUGCAGGGCUUGAGUACAGAUGAGGUAGGCGGAAUUGACGGUGUAGCGGUGAAAUGCAUAGAUAUCGUCAAGAACACCGAUAGCGAAGGCAGCUUACCAAGCUGUAACUGACACUGAGGCACGAAAGCUAGGGUAGCAAACGGGAUUAGAUACCCUUGUAGUCCCUGAGCGGGCUGGCAAGGCGCAU
rnacentral:rRNA from 1 species